rnacentral:rRNA from 1 species
UACGUAGGGGGCAAGCGUUAUCCGGAUUUACUGGGUGUAAAGGGAGCGUAGACGGUUAUGUAAGUCUGGAGUGAAAGCCCGGGGCCCAACCCCGGGACUGCUUUGGAAACUGUGUAACUGGAGUACAGGAGGGGCAAAUGGAAUUCCUAGUGUAGCGGUGGAAUGCGUAGAUAUUAGGAGGAACACCAGUGGCGAAGGCGAUUUGCUGGACUGUAACUGACACUGAGGCACGAAAGCGUGGGGAGCAAACAGG